rnacentral:rRNA from 1 species
AUUGAACGCUGGCGGCAGGCUUAACACAUGCAAGUCGAGCGGGGAAAGGUAGCUUGCUACCUGACCUAGCGGCGGACGGGUGAGUAAUGCUUAGGAAUCUGCCUAUUAGUGGGGGACAACAUUCCGAAAGGAAUGCUAAUACCGCAUACGCCCUACGGGGGAAAGCAGGGGAUCUUCGGACCUUGCGCUAAUUGAUGAGCCUAAGUCAGAUUAGCUAGUUGGUGGGGUAAGGGCCUACCAAGGCGACGAUCUGUAGCGGGUCUGAGAGGAUGAUCCGCCACACUGAGACUGAGACACGGCCCAGACUCCUACGGGAGGCAGCAGUGGGGAAUAUUGGACAAUGGGCGAAAGCCUGAUCCAGCCAUGCCGCGUGUGUGAAGAAGGCCUUUUGGUUGUAAAGCACUUUAAGCGAGGAGGAGGCUACUUGGAUUAAUACUCUAGGAUAGUGGACGUUACUCGCAGAAUAAGCACCGGCUAACUCUGUGCCAGCCGCCGCGGUAAUAC